CGGGUGAGUAAUACAUCGGAACGUGUCUUCUAGUGGGGGAUAACUGCCCGAAAGGGCAGCUAAUACCGCAUGAGACCUGAGGGUGAAAGCGGGGGAUCGCAAGACCUCGCGCUGGAAGAGCGGCCGAUGUCCGAUUAGCUAGUUGGUGAGGUAAAGGCUCACCAAGGCGACGAUCGGUAGCUGGCCUGAGAGGACGACCAGCCACACUGGGACUGGGACACGGCCCAG
rnacentral:rRNA from 1 species